rnacentral:lncRNA from 1 species
CCCUGCCCUUCCACUUCCCUUAAGACCUGUGUGAUUUAAUGCAGUCAAUUUUCUCAUGAUAGCACUUGAUCUGCCCCAGGUAUGUGUACUGCUAAGAAUGCUUGGCAUGAACAUGCCAGGGGUUUCCAUCAGUGAAUGGGAAGGUUUAUGCAAAUAACACUGCACAGCACUGAGACAUUGAUGCUGAACCUUGACUUUUCCCUGUCUUUUGCUUUACAAUGCAAGUUGCAGAUGUCGGGAAAGGAGCUGAGCAGGAAGAGAAAGGGAGCCAGCACUGUGCUGGGGUCUUUACGCCUCACCGAAUCCACAACCAGUCCUGCAGCAGUAGAGAUCAACUCUUUCCUGGCCAAUAAACUGGCCCAUGGCCAAAUUGUGAAGUCAGAAAAAUGCAAGAGUAUUACAAAAAACAUUUGUGGAGUUUGACCUGUGUCUUUGGUGUGUGACAGGCACAGAGAUGGCUGCACCACCUAGGUGUAAAGGAAUGCAUGGGAAGCUGGCUGAAACAACCUAGGAGCAAACUGCCUUCCACCCACAGCUGGACAGAGGUGCAUCCUGUGUUUUAGCCCCAGGGCUGCAUUAUGGAAGCCAGAUGGGUCAUUUUGAAAAGACCAAAACUGCCUUCUCUCUCAGGACAAGGCAACCCCAGCAGUGCUGAGUUCCUGCACCAUCCCUGCACUCCUCUUCAUUAACCUCCUGCCCCCAUCAACAGCAUAAGUGGAUUAUUUCAAAGCAAACCCUAAGCCUACUGAACUCUCAAAGGCAAUGGAGGACUCUGAAGGCCAAGCUCAGCUAAAUGUUUUUGCUUCUUGCCUCUUUCCUUUUUAAUUACAGUGUAAUUUGCAUUUAUGUGAUUUCCUUCUGCCAUUGGGUUGUGGACAGCAUUGAUGAUGAUCGACAUUCCAUAACUUCCCAUCAUAGCUGGAGAGCAGAAGGAUGGCCGCCGUCUCAGAUAAAAUUCUAUCCAAUUAAACAGUUCAAUGAACACGUCAUGGUUUGAGGUUCUCAUUAUCCUCUGUGUGCAUGUCUCAUGGAUAUUUCUUUACACCCAUCAUCGUAAUAAGGUCUUAGUGCAGAAGAUGCUCCAUGAAUUAUGCUCCCCCACUGAGCGUUAUAAUGACAUUGACUUGAAAAUGGGUCUCCUUAGACUUGCAUGAGAAGCUGAGCUUUUUCAUUUAAUUGAAUUGUUCUGGACUUUAUUUUUCCAGGUCUUUUGUCUAAAUGGUAUCAGAUGCUCCACAUGAUGAAACAUGUCACAGACAUUGACAAAAUAAUGUUGGCUCACUAACAGGGUACAUCUACUGAGGGCAAAUGUGUAAAAAGUUUUCUCCAAUCAAUACCCCAGCACAUGCUCCCUGCUCUGGAUGGUGUGGCUCACCUGGCAACUGUGGUUCACCUGGCCAGCUCCCCUGGUUGAAAAUACAAGGUCAACAAUUAAAAGUACAUGUAGUCUGUGUAAGUGUUCACCCAUCUGAGGUGAUUUUAGAGACCAUGGCUACCCCAAACCCAUGCCCUACUCUGCUGCCAGGUACCUAUCCAAAACAUUGAUCUGAAUGUGUCACUUGCUAAUUCAAACAUCUCCAUUUAAACCUCUGAGGAAUGCAGGGUGGUUACUUGAAAAUAUCAAAGGUUUUGAGCAAGAUGGGUCUGGGUUGGAACUCUGGCUGUACCACUUACAGGGUGUAAGAAAAGUUACUUCA